CACGUAGGGGGCGAGCGUUGUCCGGAUUUAUUGGGCGUAAAGAGCUCGUAAGCGGCUCGGUAAGUCGGGUGUGAAACCUCCAGGCUCAACCUGGAGACGCCACCUGAUACUGCUGUGGCUAGAGUCCGGUAGGGGAGUGUGGAACUCCUGGUGUAGCGGUGAAAUGCGCAGAUAUCAGGAAGAACACCAGCGGCGAAGGCGGCACUCUGGGCCGGAACUGACGCUGAGGAGCGAAAGCGUGGGUAGCAAACAGG
rnacentral:rRNA from 1 species